UACGGGGGGGGCAAGCGUUGUUCGGAAUUACUGGGCGUAAAGGGCGCGUAGGCGGUUGGAUAAGUUGGUGGUGCAAACCUCGAGCUUAACUCGGGGCCUGCCAUCAAUACUGCCCGGCUGGAGUGUGGGAGAGGAGAGUGGAAUUCCCGGUGUAGCGGUGAAAUGCGUAGAUAUGGGGAGGAACACCUGUGGCGAAAGCGGCUCACUGGACCACAACUGACGCUGAGGCGCGAAAGCGAGGGGAGCAAACAGG
rnacentral:rRNA from 1 species